rnacentral:rRNA from 1 species
UACGUAGGGCGCAAGCGUUAUCCGGAAUUAUUGGGCGUAAAGAGCUCGUAGGCGGUUUGUCGCGUCUGCCGUGAAAGUCCGGGGCUCAACUCCGGAUCUGCGGUGGGUACGGGCAGACUAGAGUGAUGUAGGGGAGACUGGAAUUCCUGGUGUAGCGGUGAAAUGCGCAGAUAUCAGGAGGAACACCGAUGGCGAAGGCAGGUCUCUGGGCAUUAACUGACGCUGAGGAGCGAAAGCGUGGGUAGCGAACGGG